rnacentral:sRNA from 1 species
UAGUCCCUUUCCCGGCCGGCGGCCGAGGGGGCAUCAUGAAGCGGGCUGGCGGCGCUGCCGCUCCUGGGCGGCCGCGGGCGGGAGAUGCUGCCCAAGGACCCUAGAUGCCUCUCUAGAGCAUGAGCUCAGGCAAGAGUGCCCGCUACAACCGCUUCUCCGGGGGGCCCAGCAAUCUUCCCACCCCAGACGUCACCACAGGACCAGAAUGGAAACGACCUUCGGACCUGCCUUUUCGGCCGUCACCACCAUCACAAAAGCUGACGGGACCAGCACCUACAAGCAGCACUGCAGGACACCCUCCUCCUCCAGCACCCUUGCCUACUCCCCGCGGGACGAGGAGGACAGCAUGCCCCCUAUCAGCACUCCCCGCCGCUCCGACUCCGCCAUCUCCGUCCGCUCCCUGCACUCAGAGUCCAGCAUGUCUCUGCGCUCCACAUUCUCACUGCCCGAGGAGGAGGAGGAGCCGGAGCCACUGGUGUUUGCGGAGCAGCCCUCAGUGAAGCUGUGCUGUCAGCUCUGCUGCAGCGUCUUCAAAGACCCCGUGAUCACCACGUGUGGGGUGAGCCCGCCGCCCUUCCCAGCCCC